AUAAUCUGUAAUAGAAUAUUAUAAAAAAAUAUAUAUAUAAAACAUUAUCAUAUAGUCUAUCUAUUGUCCCUUUAUAAUCUAUACAAAUGCAAACGGUUCAUAUCACAUAUUCACCGGAUUUGAGACCAUAUUCACUGGAGGUACCCCUUCUGGAAAUCCUGGAUCUGCUGCUGUCCACCCCCCCCCCCCCCCCCUUCUAUAUAGAUCUAUGACUAUAGUGUGGAAACUGGACAAGCUUGAACUAUGCAGGACGAGUAAACCAACCCCCCCCCCCCUCGAUCUUUUUUUUUUUUAAAUUGGACCGCUAAGGCCUAGGUUUUGUUUUGGAAUAUAGGCCUAGCUAUAAUUUUCAGAAAAUUAUAAAGUCAACUUUACUUUGAAAAACUGUCCUUCCAUACUACAUAAACUGAAAUAGUUUCAUCUGCUGCAAAAUAAAGAAAUCUUGGGCAUUACUUUAACUUACCAUGUUGUGAUGAUCACAAGAACUUUACGUACACCCGGCCCAAAACGUCUGGACAUGCUGUUCUUGCAGGAUGUCACCUUCCUUAUAUAUUCCGUGAUUCUGGACUCCGGUCCUCAUUCCACUCAACCACGGAAUAUUUAGCAAUUUAUGCAAAAUAACCUCCGAAAUAUUGCGACAGUCUAAUCACUUUGAAAAUGGCAGCGUCACACAUUCAACCAAUCAAAUUUGAGAGCUACAGAUUUUGGAACUUCGACCAAUCGCGUGAAAGUACGAAGACGGCCGAAAAUUCUAGUCUUGUAUUUAUCUUUCGUAAAUAUGCUGUUAUUAUCUCGUUUGUUUAAAUUUUCUGCUAUUAGAAACUAAUUCAUAAUUCAUAGCUGUUUUUUUAAAACAAAUACUAAGAUUGUAAUAAUUUAAAAUUGAUUACGGAGUCACCCGAACUCCAUCUACAGUCACUUCCGCUUCCAUAUUUUGAAAUCGUCGAUCUGUGAACAUUGUGAGGAAAGGAAAGCAAAACAAUGGGAGAAACACGUGGAGAGUAUACAAUCUAUUUUGUGGACAACUUGUUAAAGGCUCCUAGAGUAUUCUUAUGGGGUAAGCGACGUGUAUAACACUGGAAGAAGCAGUCCUACCAAACUUGAAAAGCCACGAGGUCGAGUGGUAAUGGCGCGCCCGUGCCGAUGAACUUGCACGUUGUUUUCACAAUCGGUUUUCCCAACUGCCGACUAUUCCUUGUCAGAUAAUCCUAAAAAUCCGGGAGAUAUAGCAUAGCCUAUCUAACUUUGAAGUUUGAGGAAGCAGACUGACUUUGAAGACGACAAUGAUGUUGAUUGAAUAAUACCAGGAUGCAGCAUUGCAGAAAGUAAUGACGGUAUCUGACAUGUCUUAUGCCAAUCAAUUCCUCCAGAAGAUGACACAAACUUUAAAUUAUGGAAGUUGCGAGCAAGAAUUUUUCAAGGGAAUGUCAGAUGGAGAAGAAACAUCAGUCAACAAGACAGUACUAGUGUAAAAUGAUAAAGUAUCUGUAAUAGGUGCUUACCAUAUUCUGCCUAUUGUGGAUUCAGUGCUGGUUUUUCAAACGAACUAUGCUCAUCAACCAAAUGUCCUUAAAAUUUGUGGAGUGCAGAGCCACUUUCAGGCGAGACAGUAGUGUGGUUCAUUUUAGUGGACAUGAUUUUAGACGAGAUGUGCUUUGUGAAACUUGAAACCAUUGUUCAUUCAUCAUAGUGUAAUGAGAACUGUUGUGGUCCAUCAUUCUAUGCUUUAGUGAAGUAAUGGAUAUAAUGUGAAGUACAUGUGUAAAUGCUCAUAUUCUGCACAACAUAUUUUUCAGUGACAUUAUUUCUUUGAGACCAAGCUCUGGACAGUUGAUAGCCAUUUAUGUGUAGGACUUUAUUUAUUUUUCUGUGUGUGCAAUAGCAACUGUCACUUGCAGUAAACCCAAACAAAGUGGAGAAAUAAUUUGUUGAGUUCAGAGAUUACAAUUUUUAUUGUGUUAUUUUGAUGAGAAGAUAGUAUUAAUAAGGUACAAUGGUACAUUGUAUCUUAUUGAAAAGCUUAUUUAAGAGUUAUCAGUAGAAUUAGACUGCAUGACAAUUAUUAGAAUGGGAAACCUAGAUGAAGUCAAAAGAAACUAUACUGUAUUUUACAGACUGUCCUGGAAAUAUCAUGCAAUAAAUAAUGUCUCCAGUGUUA